GGGGGGGGGGGGGGGGGGGGGUAGCGCAUGCGAGGCGAACGGAAAGGCCCGGCUUGUGUGGGGGGCUCGAGGGGCGAACGGGUGAGUCACACGGGAGUAACCUGCCCUUGACUUGGGGAUAACUUCAGGAAACUGGGGCUAAUACCGGAUAGGAGCUGCUGCUGCAUGGUGGGGGUUGGAAAGUUUCGGCGGUUGGGGAUGGACUCGCGGCGUAUCAGCUUGUUGGUGGGGUAGUGGCUUACCAAGGCUUUGACGGGUAGCCGGCCUGCGCGGGUGACCGGCCACAUUGGGACUGAGAUACGGCCCAGACUCCUACGGGAGGCAGCAGUGGGGAAUAUUGCACAAUGGGCGGAAGCCUGAUGCAGCAACGCCGCGUGCGGGAUGACGGCCUUCGGGUUGUAAACCGCUUUCGCCUGUGACGAAGCGUGAGUGACGGUAAUGGGUAAAGAAGCACCGGCUAACUACGUG
rnacentral:rRNA from 1 species